GAUAACAUUAUCGUUCAAAAAAUUCAGGAGUAAGUAUUUAUGUGAAAGGCCAUAUUCUUUGGCCAUUUGACCUUAUUUAUGAUUGAAUUAUUUGGAUGGAAAUGAUAAACUACACAUUAUUGUCUGCUUGAGUUGUGAUCUUGAUUAUGGGCUAUUUGGUAUUUUGCCUACAAACUGUAUAGUUAAUUAUCUGUUAGCUUUUGUUUUCCUGUCACAGCUUUAUGUUUCUGUGGCUAAUUGUAGCCAAAAGUUUUAUUUAUCGAUCUUAUUUUUCACAGCAUAAAUGAAACCGCGUUUCAAGCAUCAAAUGCUGCUACAUCAUUCAAGGAAAUUCGUCGUAGAGGUCUUUCUCUUUACCAAAUUUCGUAGCUGAACUUUAAGAAGCAAUCAAACCGGUGUUAACUUCUUAUAUAAAGGUAGAUUCCCAAACUUUGAAGAAACGCUGCAGUACUGAGGUAAUUGAACGUUGUAAGGCAGAGCAUUGGGCUUACCGGAGCCAAGGUAUCUUCUUCGAUAACAAGUAAGGAUAGUCCUGAUACUACCUUUCUUUUGUUAUUGAAGUUUAUUGUUCCUUCUCUCUUGUUUGGUGGUUGUGCACCUAUAUUGAUUUGUACUUCUGUUAAUUAAUUAUAGUCCUUCUCUCUUGUUUGAGUAAUUAUUGUCUACCAUUUUGUUAGCAAAGGCUUCCCAUGGAAAUUUAGUUUGUUGUGCUGCAUGUCCAAGAUGAUUUUCGUGAUUUUAGUUUUAGAUACAUAAAAGGGAUUUUGCAUCACAACAUGAAUGACUAUUUCUA